UCGAGAAUCUUUCGCAAUGGGCGCAAGCCUGACGAAGCGACGCCGUGUGAGCGAAGAAGGCCUUCGGGUUGUAAAGCUCUUUCGCUAGGGAACAAGAGAAGCAGUAUAAUAUGCUGCUAAUUUGAUGGUACUUGGUAAAGAAGCACCGGCUAACUCCGUGCCAGCAGCUGCGGUAAUACGGAGGGUGCAAGCAUUGAUCGGAAUUACUGGGCGUAAAGGGCGCGCAGGCGGUUAGGAAAGUCAGAUGUGAAAUUCCGGGGCUCAACCCCGGCACUGCAUUUGAAACUUCCUUUCUAGAGUUCAGUUAGGGAAAACGGAAUUCCACGUGUAGCGGUGAAAUGCGUAGAUAUGUGGAAGAACACCAGUGGUGAAGACGGUUUUCUGGGCUGAGACUGACGCUGAGGCGCGAAAGCAAGGGGAGCAAACAGGAUUAGAUACCCCCGUAGUCC
rnacentral:rRNA from 1 species